AGCCAAACAACAAGAUCAGGGUGGUGAUUGUCAGUUCUUGAGCUUUGAACGGGCAGAAAGCUAAACAACAAGAUCAGGGUGGCGAUGGUCAGUUCUUGAGCUUCGAACGGGCAGAAAGCUAAACAACAAGAUCAGGAUGGCGAUGGUCAGUUCUUGAGCUUCGAACGGGCAGAAAG